UAUUUUAAAGAGAGUUUGAUCCUGGCUCAGGACGAACGCUGGCGGCGUGCCUAAUACAUGCAAGUCGAACGAACGGAGGAAGAGCUUGCUCUUCCAAUGUUAGUGGCGGACGGGUGAGUAACACGUGGGCAACCUGCCUGUAAGUUGGGGAUAACUCCGGGAAACCGGGGCUAAUACCGAAUGAUAGAAUGUGGCGCAUGCCACGCUUUUGAAAGAUGGUUUCGGCUAUCGCUUACAGAUGGGCCCGCGGUGCAUUAGCUAGUUGGUAGGGUAAUGGCCUACCAAGGCAACGAUGCAUAGCCGACCUGAGAGGGUGAUCGGCCACACUGGGACUGAGACACGGCCCAGACUCCUACGGGAGGCAGCAGUAGGGAAUCUUCCGCAAUGGACGAAAGUCUGACGGAGCAACGCCGCGUGUAUGAAGAAGGUUUUCGGAUCGUAAAGUACUGUUGUUAGAGAAGAACAAGGAUAAGAGUAACUGCUUGUCCCUUGACGGUAUCUAACCAGAAAGCCACGGCUAACUACGUGCCAGCAGCCGCGGUAAUACGUAGGUGGCAAGCGUUGUCCGGAUUUAUUGGGCGUAAAGCGCGCGCAGGCGGUCUUUUAAGUCUGAUGUGAAAGCCCCCGGCUUAACCGGGGAGGGUCAUUGGAAACUGGAAGACUGGAGUGCAGAAGAGG
rnacentral:rRNA from 1 species